rnacentral:rRNA from 1 species
GUUGUGGUUAAAAAGCUCGUAGUUGGAUCUCGGCGGUCUGAGGGCGGUUCGCUUGAUUGAGUGCUACUGCUCUAUAGGCCGUGGUUUUGCCAGAGGUCUCGGGGUGCCCUUAACCGAGUGUCCUGCGAUGCUGGCAGGUUUACUUUGAAAAAAUUAGAGUGCUCAAAGCAGGCUUUUACGCCUGAAUAUUCGUGCAUGGAAUAAUAGAAUAGGAAGUCGUUUCUAUUUUGUUGGUUUUCGGAAAUCGACUUAAUGAUUAAUAGGGACAGUCGGGGGCAUUUGUAUUCAAACGACAGAGGUGAAAUUCUUGGACCGUUUGAAGACAAACUACUGCGAAAGCAUUUGCCAAGAAUGUUUUCAUUAAUCAAGAACGAAAGUUAGAGGUUCGAAGGCGAUUAGA